rnacentral:lncRNA from 1 species
GACCUGCCCUCCGAGGAGCAGCCGCCGCCCGCCGGGAUCUGGCGUCGGCUUAAGUUGUCAUCUCGCCCUCGCGGUUCUUGCAUCGCGCAGCCAGGGGCCACCGCCCUGCCCUGCUCCCUCCCCCUAGCGAUCGGCGACGACUGCCUGUGCGGCCGCGCCGUUAUGUUGCCGGCCAACUGCCCUGCAUCUCCACUCCUCCAAGGCUCCAACACCCCUUCGCUGACCCCCUGCCUGCCGGGCUGCCGGACAGAAUUUUGUUGAGGCCAACCACAUCACAAACGGCACACAGGUAAACUAACAUAUUCCGCCAAAUUCCCCAUUUACUAAGUAGUAGCCUUAUUUUGUUUAGUUGCUUACAUCUCGUGAUAAGUAGUAGCCUGUCAGAGAAGAAUUGAUCUAGGACUUGUUAAUAUUGGUGAGUCAUGCAUGUACAUGUGUCUAUAUUUGUGGAUCUCAGACAUCAGUCUUCAGGCGUUCAUAUAUGUUUGUGCCUGCAGUCUUUCAUUUAGCUCCGGAUGAUGUGAAAAAUCAUCGUAGAUUUAUACUGUGCCAUCUGCACAAUGUCAAAAUGUUUCUAAUAGCCGAAGUUAUUUUCUGCUACUUAGUCUAGUUUUGAUGCACCCAGAAUCUCGUUAUAAUUACCAAAAUAUUGCAGGUGUCGAUGGAGGAACAGGUGGUAAUGUCAUUCUUGGUUUCUCAAGAUCUGUCUGGGAUUUCAUUAACUUGCAACAUCACACGGUAUGCUGGAUUAUGGUACUCAGGAGUUCCUUUUAUAUCAUUCAGAUCUGAUUCAUGGAGAAUGAUUGCUACUUUUUGCCUGAAGGGUUUGACAUCUUCCUGCAAAAAAAUAAUUAGAAUCAAUAUAUUACAACAUUGAAUUAGAUAUGCAAUACACUUUUGUCAUCCUUCAUGAAUUACCUGUGUAACAGGAUGUGACAGUUUGUGUCCUGUCCAGUUUUCAAUGAAUUGUAGCAUGAAUAAGCCGCAAGAUGAUCUAUUGGUUAAAAAUAUUGGGCACAUUAGUAAUAAGCAAACAUAAGGAAUUGUUGAAUAAUAAUCAAUAAUUGUUACUGCUGCUCUCAUUUCACAUUUUCUCAUGUGAUGAUUUCAAACAUACCCAUCAAAUUGAAUUCGAUCUUGAAUAUACUCUUUUAUAGUCCAUCUAGUUACAUCAAUAUCUGGCCAAGUACCUAGGUUAAACCCAUUCAUCUUAGAAGCAACCUUUAGAUGCGCCUCAAGCCCCUGAAGUUGUUAAAUAGAAAAAAGAGUAUGAUAAUAUAGGUGAAACUAAAUGCAUGAAUUCCAAGUUCAGAUAUAGUAAAAUCAUACCGUAAGUUGUAGAUCAGCUCGGCUCAUUCGAGAACCAAAAGAAUCGAGUACUUGUAUCUCGCGUUGUUUGAUAUUGACAACAGAUAGAUACCAAUGCGUUUGGUUCAUAUUGAUUGGAAUGAACAACUGACACAAAAUAUAUAAGUCGUUGCCCCGGCUAGGUAAACAAAUUGAUAACAAAUGAUAGAACCAUAGGUACGAAAAUUAGUCUAACCAUGUCAUGUUGUAGAUACUUAAGGACCUUUUCAACGAUGUGGUGAUGACUCUCAAGGCUUCUGGGAAUUUCACCAUCUCACUUAAGUAUUCCUGAAUCAUAUGUAGUUUCCAAGAAUACCCGUGCACCCGCUGUACAAAAUUUAUCCUGGACCCUUAGACAGUAAAUAUAUGCAAUUUGACCUAUAGUAGAAAAAGUAACAAAUAAAUUAGACAUUCUUGAAGUGUGUAAGUAUGAUCAUUGGAAUAUAUUUUAGCUGACCUCGCUCUCCACCCAUAUCUCAUCUUCUAAAAGACAUUCCAAAUCUCAACAUGUCAAGGUUGUGUCAUGGAUAUUCACUAACUUGGUUUUGCUAGGGAAGGACAUGAUGUAUUCCUUCAUUUCAGUAAAAUUAAUAGCACAGGCAUUUUCUUUUAUCUCAUUCAGAUCCAUCAGAAACAACAUAGACAUAAGUAAAGCUUAAUUGAAUAAAAAAAUGUGGUGGUUGUUUGUAUAGCGCCUGUGGAAGCUGAUCCGCUUGUUGCUAAUACGUGAAUGCAAGGAGCUCACCUCGGCGGGUGCGACGGACAUGGCGAGUGGAGCGCAGAGGCAACGGCGGCCGUAGCGUAGCGUCGCCGGGAGGACGGCCUUGAGGUGCUUUACAGCGGUGAGCCCGUCCCGGCUGCCGUCGUUUCCCCAACGUAUACAGGUUCUCUUCCACGACUGAUGAACGUGCCCACAAAGGAUCGGCCAGAGAGAGAAGAAAAGAGACCUAUGCAGGGCGUCAAUGGGGUAGUGCGAGCAGCCUUGCUUUAUUAUUUAUACUUCCCUUCCGCUGAACUCGGGAAUUUUUUCCUGCAUGUGACGCGCGGCCUUAACUGCCCUGCAAUAUCGGCGAUUAUCUUCCCUACAUAGGGCAAUCUCCGCGAUUAUCUUCCCUACAUAAACAUGAUUGCUUCCAUCUGAUUUGUUUACCGAUCGGGAGCAAGAAAAUCGCCAGAGAUAUCGCUCCGUUUUAUUGUAUCGUAUACUCUUACUCUGAGUGGAAACAUCCCAUCCAGCGACAAAUUUGGCUAGUCUAUGGCGGAUAAGAUGGAAACACAAAGCAGUCCAUUUUUUAAGAGAAGAGGAAAAGGAAAGAGAGAAACCCGAGGUGGAGAGGGACGUGCAUGGGGAGAUUGAUCACCUUUUGAGAACCAAAUAACAUAUUUAUUACCAUAUAUAAGUUGAU